GGGGUUGUGGCUCAGGGGUAGACUGCUCGCCUAGUAUGUGUGAGGCCCUGGGUUCGAUGCUCAGCACCACA
rnacentral:tRNA from 1 species